CGUUCUGACUUCUCACAAUGAUCUCAAAGACCGCCGUCGUGUUGGCCCUUGUGGCUGUCGCUGUAGCUACUCCCUCACAGCCCACGUAUGGCUAUACCCCGGAACCCACAUAUGAGGAACCUGCCAAGUACGACUUCAACUACGCUGUAAAGG